AUUUGAAGCUUUUUCUUUUUGGUUGAACCUGCUAGAGUUUGUACUUCUCUGAUAUGAUGAUUUCCCUAAUUGAAACACAGACUUUUAGUAUUAUGUCAUAAUGGGGCAGCAUCACUGUUUUAUCCACCAGAUGAUGAAUCUUUGACUCAUGGAAAGCAAAGAAAAUUAUGGGGCAAAACUGUUUUGUGCAACAUCCUUUUUCUACAAUAACUCCAGGACAGUGGUGCCCUUCAGACAGGUCCUUGAUGAUCCAGUGAUUCCAUUCUACACAUCUUGAGCUACAAGAUCUACAGAGAAUCAACUCUCAAAAAAUUGAAAAGAACUGGAAAGUAAAGGAAUGUCCAUUAUUUUGGAGAAUGGCUGAACAAGUUUUAUAUAAUUAAAAAGGAAUACUACUGUGCCAAAAGAAAUGAUGAACAAGAACACAAAACAACCUGGAAAGGCUUAAGAAGUGAUGCAAAGUGAAGUGAAUAGAAACAGGAGAGCAUUGUAUAUGGUAACUGAAAUAAAGUAUGCUGAUCAACUAUGAAUGACA
rnacentral:lncRNA from 1 species